UGAAAUGCGUGGAACGGAUAGAGUAAUCUUCUGUAAACCAUCAGAGAGGGACCGUCACCGGCUGAAAGCGGUCCCGGGCAGAGGAAGAGGAAAGUGCAUCCGGGAGCAGACAGGAGGAAAGGCAUACGAGUAUUCCUGUACGGAGACACACGUUACGUGUAUCGAGUGGAAGGCGGGAUGCCUUUCAGUAGAGUGGAACCGCGGAUACCUUCGUCUCUAGU
rnacentral:ncRNA from 1 species